AACUCUCAAGCAAAUAUAGCUUUAUUGUUAUGUUUGUUUGGAUCUGGGCUUUGCUGCGUCAAUGCAGCUGGUCUUAAAUGUAUUAGCUGAUCCUUAUGAGGGAUUUGGUUCUACUUGACGUGGUAAUUAUCUAACGUUGAGGACAGUCUUUUGAGAUUGGCCAGAGAUAUCUUUGGAUUGCUUCUAAAUUGUUUAUUGUCCUUGGACAUAAUCAGUCAAUCAU
rnacentral:misc_RNA from 1 species